rnacentral:misc_RNA from 1 species
AAGGCUUGACAUGGGCCGGAUCGCCGCAGAAAUGUGGUUUCCCCUUUGGGGCCGGUUCACAGGUGGUGCAUGGUUGUCGUCAGCUCGUGUCGUGAGAUGUUGGGUUAAGUCCCGCAACGAGCGCAACCCUUGUCCUGUGUUGCCAGCGCGUAAUGGCGGGGACUCGCAGGAGACUGCCGGGGUCAACUCGGAGGAAGGUGGGGAUGACGUUUCCAGGUUAGG